GAUGAACGCUAGCGGCAGGCCUAACACAUGCAAGUCGAGGGAGAAGCCCUUUCGGGGGCAGAAACCGGCGCACGGGUGCGUAACGCGUAUGCAACCUACCUUUCACAGGGGGAUAGCCCGAAGAAAUUUGGAUUAAUACCCCAUAAUAUUAUUGGAUGGCAUCAUUUGAUAAUUAAAACUGCGGUGGUGAAAGAUGGGCAUGCGUCCUAUUAGCUAGUUGGAGUGGUAACGGCACCCCAAGGCUACGAUAGGUAGGGGUCCUGAGAGGGAGAUCCCCCACACUGGUACUGAGACAGGGACCAGACUCCUACGGGAGGCAGCAGUGAGGAAUAUUGGUCAAUGGUCGGAAGACUGAACCAGCCAUGCCGCGUGCAGGAAGAAUGCCUUAUGGGUGGUAAACUGCUUUUAGAUGGGAAGAAUAAGGUGUACGUGUACAUUGAUGACGGUACCAGAUGAAUAAGCAUCAGCUAACUCCGUG
rnacentral:rRNA from 1 species